CCAAGAUACAUGCCUUGUUGUGCAAUCAAAACACAAUCUAGCCGUAAAUUGAGUGAACUGGUUCUUUGGGGAAAUCAAAAUGGCUCCAAUUCCAUGCCCCAAUGCAUUAGAAGCACCAUCAAACACCAAAGUCCAUUUUUAUUUAUUAGAUGAUUCAGUCUCUUCAAAUAAAGUCAUUAUACCUUCAUCGGGGAAUUCACACGUCAUUGAUUGAUAAUCUUCUACAUGUUGUUG
rnacentral:lncRNA from 1 species